GAUGAAGAACGCAGCGAAAUGCGAUACGUAAUGUGAAUUGCAGAAUUCAGUGAAUCAUCGAAUCUUUGAACGCAUAUUGCGCUCUCUGGUAUUCCGGAGAGCAUGCUUGUUUGAGUAUCAGUAAACACCUCAACUUCCAUAUCUUUUUUGAAAUGGGAGUUGGACUUGAGUGAUCCCAACGCUUUUCCUCACCGAAAAGUGGCGGGUUACUUGAAAUGCAGGUGCAGCUGGACUUUUCUCUGAGCUAUAAGCAUAUCUAUUUAGUCUGCCUAAAAAACAGAUUAUUACCUUUGCUGCGGCUAACAUAAAGGAGAUUAGUUCUUGUGCUGACUGAUGCAGGAUUCACAAAGACGGCUUCGGCCGACUUUGUAAACUCGAUCUCAAAUCAAGUAAGACUACCCGCUGAACUUAAGCAUAUCAAUAAGCGGAGGA
rnacentral:misc_RNA from 1 species